AAUGUUACUCAAAACUGUAAUUUUAUAAAAUAUGCCAGGUAUGGUGUUUCCCAGCCUGGUCUACAGAGUGAGUUCCAGAACAGCCAGGACUACACAGAGAAACCCUGUCUCCGGGAAAAAAAAAAAAAGAAAGGAUUUUUUUUUUUUUUUAACUACAUUAAAAUUACACAGGGUUUUUCUGUAGUAGCCCUGGCUGUCCUGGACUCAACUUUGUAGACCAGGCUGGCCUCAGAUUCACAGAGACCCACCUGCCUCUGCUUCUCCAGUGCUGGGAUUAAAGGCAUAUGCCACCAUGCCAGGCUAUUGCUGUGCAUCUUAAACUGGGCCAGAACAUUGCAGUGUGACUAGACUGACUGCUUUUGAGUUCCAGAUCCUCCUGUUUCCCUCUGCUUGGAUUAUGAGUGUUGCUCCCUGGGCCCUUUGCUUUGUCUCAGUACAACUUAACAUAACAUAACAUUCCCUUCAUAACAUCUCUGUGCUGGAUUGCUGGUGGUUGUUGGCGCCAUGCAGGCAAGAGCUGCCCUUCCACACUGAGUGAGACCCAUACUGUUCCACAGACUAGUUCUGUCGUUGUAUAUUCUGUGUAUAUGUGAUUACCUACUUACCAUUCAAGCACUGUUUUAUUGGUUCACCUGUUGGCUGUUCUGAGUAAUGCUGAGUAAACUUGAAUACAAGUUUGAGAGAGAACACAAAGCUUUCUUUUUUGGGAGGUAGAAUUGUUGAUCUUAUGGCAAAAUGUAUGUUUAGUUAUUUCAGAAACUAUGAAACUGUUUACAGAAGAGGCUAUGCCAUUGUAUAGCCGGUUUCAGUCUCACAUCCUCACCAGUACCUGAUAUUAAUAUUUGUUUAAGCUGUAUCCAUUCUGGUGGAUGUGUAGUGGGAAUCUCAUUCUGAUUUAAUUUAAAUUCCUUUUACCUCAAAAUUCUUCUUUUUGUUUUUUUUUUUCUUCACUCCCCGCGCAUACCUGCACACACAUGGGGGCUAGAGUUUAAUCUUGGGAGCCAUCGAUAUAGUUUAUUUAUUGAUUCAAUUUUGAUAUGUAUGAGUGUUUUGUUCAUGUGAAUGCAGUAUUGGCAGAGGCUAGAAAAGGCCAGGGGAAAUUCCCUGGGAUUGGAGUUUCAGAUGGUUGUGAGCUACCGUGGGUGCUGGGAAACAGACCCAGGUUCUCUGCAAGAGCAGCAGUGUUCUUAACCCCCAAGUCACCUCUUCAGCCCCUCUAUUCUUUAUUAUUGCCAAGUAGCUUUCAGUCCUGUUUGUUCUCAAUUUACAGGUAAACGGAAGCUGCAGUUUUAGGUUUUCUGAUCAUCAUCUAGGAUCCAUGAAAUCAGUAGCAGAAUAUCUAAGAAAUCAGAGUUCAUAUCUUGGGUUCAUAUCUGUCCUGUGCCCUCCCCACACCACCCUGGUGAUCAAAUCAAAAUUGAGCAGUCCAGGGGCUGACCCAAAGGGCUCUGACCAAUUAGACAGACUCUGGGGGCUGGCUAAAGAUUACAUAGCAAUAAAAAAUUAACUGCCCAGACGUCAGGGUUAGGGCUUUAUGAAGUGCUGCAGAGAUGGCUCAGAGGUUGCGAGUACAUGCUGCUUUGGUGGGGAUGAGUUCAACUCCUAGUGCCCACGCUGCCUUCGACUCCAUCCGGCUCUAGGGGUCAGCAUUCUCUUUUGGCCUAUUCAGACAAAUGCAUGACUGUUCAUAACACAGAUACACAAAUACAUAUAAAACUUAAGGGGCUGAGGGAUGGCUCAGCAGUUACAAGUACCUGAUUUGACUUAAUAGUUAUUUAUUUAUAUUUUUUGAGACAGGGCGUCCCUGUGUAGCUUGGCUGCCUUGGAACUCCCUCUGUAGACCAGGCUAGCCUCGAACUCAGAUGUACCUGCCUCUCCCUACCAAGUGCAGUACCAUGCCUGGCACUUAAUGUUGCAGAGAGCCUGAUUUCCAUUCCAGUACCCACAUCUGUAACUCCAGUUUUAAGAGAUCCAUUGCUCUAAUCUCUGCAGGUAUCGGCACACACAUAGUACAUAAUCAUACACAUGAGUGAAACACUCAUACAUACAGAACAGAUAUUU
rnacentral:lncRNA from 1 species